ACUCCUACGGGAGGCAGCAGUGGGGAAUAUUGCACAAUGGGCGCAAGCCUGAUGCAGCCAUGCCGCGUGUAUGAAGAAUGGGCCUUCGGGUUGAUAAAUGUACUUUCAGCAGUGAGGAAGGUGGGUAUGUUAAUAGCAUACUCAUUUGACGUUAGCUGCAGAAGAAGCACCGGCUAACUCCGUGCCAGCAGCCGCGGUAAUACGGAGGGUGCGAGC
rnacentral:rRNA from 1 species